rnacentral:rRNA from 1 species
AUCGAUGAAGAACGCAGCGAAAUGCGAUAAGUAAUGUGAAUUGCAGAAUCCAGUGAAUCAUCGAAUCUUUGAACGCACAUUGCGCCCGCCAGCAUUCUGGCGGGCAUGCCUGUUCGAGCGUCAUUUCAACCCUCGACCUCCCUUUGGGGAAGUCGGCGUUGGGGACCGGCAGCACACCGCCGGCCCUGAAAUGGAGUGGCGGCCCGUCCGCGGCGACCUCUGCGUAGUAAUCCAACUCGCACCGGAACCCCGACGCGGCCACGCCGUAAAACACCCAACUUCUGAACGUUGACCUCGAAUCAGGUAGGACUACCCGCUGAACUUAAGCAUAUCAAUAAGCGGAGGAAAAGAAACCAACAGGGAUUGCCCCAGUAACGGCGAGUGAAGCGGCAACAGCUCAAAUUUGAAAUCUGGCCCUCGGGUCCGAGUUGUAAUUUGUAGAGGAUGCUUUUGGCGAGGUGCCUUCCGAGUUCCCUGGAACGGGACGCCACAGAGGGUGAGAGCCCCGUAUGGUCGGACACCGAGCCUCUGUAAAGCUCCUUCGACGAGUCGAGUAGUUUGGGAAUGCUGCUCAAAAUGGGAGGUAUAUGUCUUCUAAAGCUAAAUAUUGGCCAGAGACCGAUAGCGCACAAGUAGAGUGAUCGAAAGAUGAAAAGCACUUUGAAAAGAGGGUUAAAAAGUACGUGAAAUUGUUGAAAGGGAAGCGCCUAUGACCAGACUUGGGCCCGGUGAAUCAUCCAGCGUUCUCGCUGGUGCACUUUGCCGGGCACAGGCCAGCAUCAGUUUGGCGCGGGGGAAAAAGGCUUCGGGAAUGUGGCUCCCUCGGGAGUGUUAUAGCCCGCUGCGUAAUACCCUGCGCCGGACUGAGGUACGCGCAUUGCAAGGAUGCUGGCGUAAUGGUCAUCAGCGACCCGUCUUGAAACACGG